rnacentral:rRNA from 1 species
AUGCAUGCCAUAAUCCUGUCCAUUCUGAAUUCUAAUCAUCCCCAGGCUACUAUGACAAAUGGAAUGACCUUUUUAUGGUGCAUAUGGAAAGCAAGGAAUGAUAAUCUCUUUGGUAGGAAGCAAAACACUCCCUUGCAGGUACAUCAAGCAAUGCCGACGACUAUAAAAAGUCAGGAUCUAUUAUCUUACAGAGACAAUGUAGGUGAUGCCACAAUGCUAGAACAGAAACAAGGGAAGCAACCGACCAAUUAUCGAACACAAUCAGGCAUUUCAGGAUAUGAGGUGUACACAGAUCCUGCAUGGAAAAUAAGUGCAGACUCUUUAUAUACAACAACAGCUAAAGCAGGGAUUGGAAUCUUCAUCCAACCAGCAGGGGAACAUAAAAAAGGAGGAGUUUACAUAUCAGCAGCAGGUGCACAAGUCAACUCUCCCCUCAAAGCAGAAGCCCUUGCACUUAAGGUUGCUGCACAGAUUGCCACAAUUUUGACAAAUAAUCACAUCACCUUCCUAGUGGACAAUCAGAUCUUAGCCCGAGUAGCAAAUUCAAAGAAUCUUCGACAAGAACCUGGUCACUGGGAUAUUAGGCAUCAGUUAGCUGCUUUCUUUGACAUAACGAGACACAAUCAGAUCCAGGUUUUCCAUAUUCCUCGGAUCCACAACUUUAGGGCUCAUGAUUGUGCAACCAAUGCUAACCUCAUAGAUUCUCAAGAUAGCCCAAAACUGGCUUGUUGUAAUAACACUCAUGCAGGUGAACACUGUCCUACGCUCAUGAAGCUAGGCAAUCUUCAGAUGAAAGAUUGUAAAAUCAUAGUUGUAAUAUGUACUUGA